rnacentral:rRNA from 1 species
GAUGAACGCUGGCGGCGUGCCUAAUACAUGCAAGUAGAACGCUGAAGGAAGGAGCUUGCUCUUUCCGGAUGAGUUGCGAACGGGUGAGUAACGCGUAGGUAACCUGCCUGGUAGCGGGGGAUAACUAUUGGAAACGAUAUCUAAUACCGCAUAACAGUAGAUGUUGCAUGAUAUCUACUUAAAAGGUGCAAUUGCACCACUACCAGACUGACCUGCGUUGUAUUAGCUAGUUGGUGAGGUAACGGCUCACCAAGGCGACGAUACAUAGCCGACCUGAGAGGGUGGUCGGCCACACUGGGACUGAGACACGGCCCAGAGUCCUACGGGAGGCAGCAGUAGGGAAUCUUAGGCAAUGGACGGAAGUCUGACCGAGCAACGCCGAGUGAGUGAAGAAGGUUGUCGGAUCGUAAAGCUCUGUUGUAAGAGAAGAACGAGUGUGAGGGUGGAAAGUUCACACUGUGACGGUAUCUUAACAGAAAGGGACGGCUAACUACGUG